rnacentral:SRP_RNA from 1 species
UUUCACUUGAUAUUAUUAUAUUUAUAAUAUAUAAUAUAUUUAAGCAGAGCUUUAUUUUGGUCAUGUGGCGUGUGGGUCCUGUGCGACAGGAUACCGUGAACCAUGUCAGGCGGGUGAACCGAGCAGCAUUAAGCGGACAAUCUUGUGCGCCACAGUCUGCCUGCCGCCAUAUGACCAAGGCAAAGCUCUCUUUUUGUUAAA